rnacentral:rRNA from 1 species
UACGGAGGGGGCUAGCGUUGUUCGGAAUUACUGGGCGUAAAGCGCACGUAGGCGGCUUUGUAAGUUAGAGGUGAAAGCCUGGAGCUCAACUCCAGAAUUGCCUUUAAGACUGCAUCGCUUGAAUCAUGGAGAGGCGGGUGGAAUUCCGAGUGUAGAGGUGAAAUUCGUAGAUAUUCGGAAGAACACCAGUGGCGAAGGCGACACACUGGCCCAAUACUGACGCUGAGGCGCGAAAGCGUGGGGAGCAAACAGG